UGGGGAAUUUUGGACAAUGGGGGAAACCCUGAUCCAGCCAUCCCGCGUGUGCGAUGAAGGCCUUCGGGUUGUAAAGCACUUUUGGCAGGAAAGAAACGUCGCGGGUUAAUACCCCGCGAAACUGACGGUACCUGCAGAAUAAGCACCGGCUAACUACGUGCCAGCAGCCGCGGUAAUACGUAGGGUGCAAGCGUUAAUCGGAAUUACUGGGCGUAAAGCGUGCGCAGGCGGUUCGGAAAGAAAGAUGUGAAAUCCCAGAGCUUAACUUUGGAACUGCAUUUUUAACUACCGGGCUAGAGUGUGUCAGAGGGAGGUGGAAUUCCGCGUGUAGCAGUGAAAUGCGUAGAUAUGCGGAGGAACACCGAUGGCGAAGGCAGCCUCCUGGGAUAACACUGACGCUCAUGCACGAAAGCGUGGGGAGCAAACAGGAUUAGAUACCCUGGUAGUCCACGCCCUAAACGAUGUCAACUAGCUGUUGGGGGCCUUCGGGCCUUGGUAGCGCAGCUAACGCGUGAAGUUGACCGCCUGGGGGAGUACGGUCGCAAGAUUAAAAACUC
rnacentral:rRNA from 1 species